CAGCCGCCGCGGGAAUACGAAGGGUGCAAGCGUUAAUCGGAAUUACUGGGCGUAAAGCGCGCGUAGGUGGUUCAGUAAGUUGGAAGUGAAAUCCCCGGGCUCAACCUGGGAACUGCUUUCAAAACUGCUGAGCUAGAGUACGGUAGAGGGUGGUGGAAUUUCCUGUGUAGCGGUGAAAUGCGUAGAUAUAGGAAGGAACACCAGUGGCGAAGGCGACCACCUGGACUGAUACUGACACUGAGGUGCGAAAGCGUGGGGAGCAAACAGGAUUAGAUACCCCAGUAGUCCCUGUCUCUUAUAC
rnacentral:rRNA from 1 species